rnacentral:rRNA from 1 species
UACAGAGGUCUCAAGCGUUGUUCGGAUUCAUUGGGCGUAAAGGGCGCGUAGGCUGCGGGGCAAGUCGGGUGUGAAAUCUCAGAGCUCAACUCUGAAACUGCACUCGAUACUGCUUUGCUUGAGGACUGGAGAGGAGAUUGGAAUUCACGGUGUAGCAGUGAAAUGCGUAGAUAUCGUGAGGAAGACCAGUGGCGAAGGCGGAUCUCUGGACAGUUCCUGACGCUGAGGCGCGAAGGCCAGGGGAGCAGACGGG